GAUGAACGCUGGCGGCGUGCCUAGUACAUGCAAGUCGAGCGAGAACCGUAGCAAUACGGGGACAGCGGCGAAAGGGACAGUAAUGUGUAGGUACCUACCCCCGGGUUCGGGAUAGCUGCGGGAAACUGCAGGUAAUACCGAAUAAUGUCUCCGGACCAAAGGUGUGAUUCCACCUGGGGAGGGGCCUGCAUCCUAUUAGCUUGUUGGUGGGGUAACGGCCUACCAAGGCGACGAUGGGUAGCGGGUGUGAGAGCAUGACCCGCGUCAUUGGGACUGAGACACUGCCCAGACACCUGCGAGUGGAUGCAGUCGGGAAUCUUCGGCAAUGGGCGCAAGCCUGACCGAGCGACGCGGCGUGCGGGAUGAAGGCCUUCGGGUUGUAAACCGCUGUCGUAGAGGAGGAAAUGCAGGGGGGUUCUCCCCUUUGCUUGACCUAUUCUAGGAGGAAGUACGGGCUAAGUUCGUGCCAGCCGCCGCUGUAA
rnacentral:rRNA from 1 species